rnacentral:rRNA from 1 species
GUCCAGACUCCUACGGGAGGCAGCAGUGGGGAAUAUUGCACAAUGGGGGGAACCCUGAUGCAGCGACGCCGCGUGAGCGAUGAAGUAUUUCGGUAUGUAAAGCUCUCUCAGCAGGGAAGAAAAUGACGGUACCUGACUAAGAAGCCCCGGCUAACUACGUGCCAGCAGCCGCGGUAAUACGUAGGGGGCAAGCGUUAUCCGGAUUUACUGGGUGUAAAGGGAGCGUAGACGGCGAUGCAAGCCAGAUGUGAAAGCCCGGGGCUCAACCCCGGGACUGCAUUUGGAACUGUGUGGCUGGAGUGUCGGAGAGGCAGGCGGAAUUCCUAGUGUAGCGGUGAAAUGCGUAGAUAUUAGGAGGAACACCAGUGGCGAAGGCGGCCUGCUGGACGAUGACUGACGUUGAGGCUCGAAAGCGUGGGGAGCAAACAGGAUUAGAUACCCUUGUAGA